UACGUAGGGGGCAAGCGUUGUCCGGAAUUACUGGGCGUAAAGCGCGUGUAGGCGGGACGGCAAGUCUGGCGUGAAAUCCCUCGGCUCAACCGAGGAACGUCGAUCGAUACUGCUGUUCUUGAGGAUUGCAGAGGAGACUGGAAUUCCCGGUGUAGCGGUGAAAUGUGUAGAGAUCGGGAGGAACACCGGUGGCGAAGGCGGGUCUCUGGGCAAUUCCUGACGCUGAGGCGCGAAAGCGUGGGGAGCAAACGGG
rnacentral:rRNA from 1 species